rnacentral:tRNA from 2 species
UGCGGGGUCGUCUAAUGGUAGGACGCCUCCCUUUGAAGGAGGAUAUUCUAGGUUCGAGUCCUAGCCCCGCAGCCA